rnacentral:rRNA from 1 species
CCCAGACUCCUACGGGAGGCAGCAGUGGGGAAUAUUGGGCAAUGGAGGCAACUCUUACCCAGCAAUGCCGCGUGAAUGAAGAAGGUCUUCGGAUUGUAAAGUUCUUUAAUUGGGGACGAAAAAAAUGACGGUACCCAAGGAAUAAGCCCCGGCUAACUACGUGCCAGCAGCCGCGGUAAUACGUAGGGGGCAAGCGUUAUCCGGAUUUACUGGGUGUAAAGGGGGCGCAGACGGCAGCGCAAGCCAGGAGUGAAAGCCCGGGGCCCAACCCCGGGACUGCUCUUGGAACUGCGCGGCUGGAGUGCAGGAGGGGCAGGCGGAAUUCCUGGUGUAGCGGUGAAAUGCGUAGAUAUCAGGAGGAACGCCGGUGGCGAAGGCGGCUCUCUGGACUGUAACUGACACUGAGGCACGAAAGCGUGGGGAGCAAACAGGAUUAGAUACCCGCGUA